AGGUCCAUCUGACCCAAAUCCAGCAGUCACCACCACAAACUAUGAGACGAUAUCAACUAUAAAUGCAUCAGAAAGUGAAGGCAGUAAGAUUUGUGUGUCAUUUUUCAGAGUGAUUAUAGUGAUUGUUGAGAUAACAGCAUUUGCUGCUCCUACUGUGAUUCUUCUUCAGAUCGUCUGUACAGAAAGAGCUGAAAACAGAAGAAAGACUCAGAUCACCCCCUGAAGACAGUGAUAUCAGCAAUUUCUAAAUACAACACCAUUUACAAAUAAUAAGCAAGUUAACAGGGAAAUGUAUUUUUAUUGAUUUUUAAAGGAAUAUGCUUACACAAUUAUUUUCCAGGGAUCUAUAUUCUAAUAAUGACUGUUUUAAUUAUAACACAAACCC